AAAUCUGGACCGGGUCGACCCGCAACUCUCGUAGUCCAUUCAAACUACAAAAACCCGAUCCGGAUCCGCCGCCCUCCUAAACCCUAAGAAACCCCCAAAACUCAGCAUGUCGCUGCUCCAUCUCCAUCGGCACGAUUAAAUCAAAAAAAACCUAAACCCUAAAACCACAAAUAUGAGAAAUCAAUGGCGACUCCUCCUUCUCAGAUCCCGAGGCAACAUUUCCCGCCAUUCCUCUCAACUCAUUAUAUCCCCUCAUCAGGUACACUCGUCAUUUCUCUCUCGUUCUAUUCCCAGCUUACCUGCAACAAAACCCCUUUUUCAAAACCCUAGAUUUUCUAGUUUGCGAUUUUUUUCAUCAUCUGAAGCUGCUGUUGCUCAUAAAGAUUCGGAUCAGAUUGCAGUUGUGACUGAUGUGUUUGCUAAAUCACUUAAAAUUGAUGAAUAUAAGCAAGAAUUAGAGAGUAAUAAUGUAGUUGUUAAUCAUGAUUUGGUGUUGAGUGUUUUGCAAAGUCCUAAUACUGAUGUUGGUGUUGCUAGAAGGCUUUUUGAUUGGGUUUCUGAGGUGAGUAAUGAGAAAUUGAGCUCAAAAUGUUAUAAUUAUAUGUUGGGGAUCUUGGGGGAGAAUGGGCUGGUGAAGGAGUUUUGGGAGUUGGUUGGGGUUAUGAAGAGUAAAGGGUAUGGUGUGAAUAGGGGAACUGUGGUCAGGGUUUCGAAGAAAUUUGAGAAGGAUGGGUUGAAGGGUGAUUUGGGGAAGUUGGAGGAGCUGUUUGCUUCGGGGUCGACAGAUAAUUCGUUUGAGAAGGUUUGUAUGAGGGUUUCAAAGGCUUUUGAGAAGAAUGUGUGGGGGGAUGAUGUGGAGAAGGAGUUGAUGGGUGUUUCGUAUUCGAAUAAUUUGGUUGCAAUGGUGGUGGAGAAGCUUGGGUUGGAUCCGAAUAAAAGUUUGGUAUUUUUUAGGUGGGUAGAGGAGAGUGGCUUGUUUAAGCAUGAUGAAUGGACAUAUGAUAUGAUGGCUAGGGUGUUAGGCAGAGAGGGUUACACUGAUAAAUUCUGGCGAGUGGUUGACGAAAUGAGAGGUGCUGGUUAUCAAAUGACAAGUGAGACUUACAUACAUGUCUUUAAUCAGUUUAUGAAGAAAAAGUUGAUGCAGGAUGCAGUGAUGUUGUAUGAGUUUGCUAUGGGUGGUGUUAAUAAGCCUUCAGUGCAGGACUGUACAUUUCUUUUGAGGAAAAUAAUAGUUGGUGAUAAUCCUGAUAUGGAAUUGUUUAAGAGAGUUGUGAAAGCAUUUACGGAGAGUGGGAACGUGUUGACAAGUUCAAAUCUUAACACUGUUCUCAAAUCAUUGACGAGCUUUAAGGACUGCACUAAAAUUUUGAACGCAAUGGAAGAAGGUGGCCUCUCGCUCAGUGAUAACUUGCAGAGUAAAAUUGCUUUUCGUUUAAGCAGUGAAGGAGAAAAGGAUGAAGCGCUUGAGUUCAUUGAUAGAAUUGAAGCAUCUGGUAGUGAUCUUAAUUAUCAGACUUGGGUGUCUUUAGUUGAAGGGCACUAUGUGGCUGGUCAUCUAGAUAAAGCUUCCGACUGUAUACGAAAGAUGAUAGAAAAGGAGGGGCCAUUAAGUGCUGGCUACCCUUUUGGACUGUUGGUGACUGCUUAUUGCUCUAAGAACAGAUCAAAGGAUGCAUUUGGGCUUCUUGCUGCUCUGGUCGUUGAUAAACAGUUAAAACCUCAACAUACUACCUACAAAGCAUUGACCAGAAAGCUAUUGGUUCAGGGGCAUUUUAAAGAAGCUCUGAACCUUCUUGGUUUGAUGAAAACUCAAGGUUUUCCUCCUUUCUUGGAUCCUUUCCUUGAGUACAUUUCAAAAACUGGAACUGUAGAUGAUGCUAUAAUGCUGCUGAAAUCGAUGACUGUGAAGAGGUUUCCUGCUAAGGCUGUUUAUCUUCAUUUAUUUGAAGCAUAUUUUAAGGCUGGAAAGCACGAUGAAGCACAAAAUUUCCUUUCUCAAUGUCCACGUUUUAUCCGAAACAAUGCUGAUGUUUUAAAUCUCUUCUACUCUAAACAAACUUCCAAGGAAACUGUUGCUGAAUGUGCCACGACGGCUUAGAAAUUCGGUGGGUACGCCAAAUAAAUUACAAUUUAACAAUUUGACUUUUACAGGACACCUUACCGGAUUGUGGUCGGAAGUGUUGGAUCGAUAUAGAGUGGUCAAACUUGUUGCAACAUUUUGAGAAUUAUGUGUGUUUACUGCCCACUUGCUUGCGCAGCUGACAUGGUUAUUGAGAAAUGACAUAUCAUUAUCAGCCUUCAAUCUGUCCAUGGAACCUUAUAAUGACCACUACCAUGUGUAUUCCAGCAGUGCGGAGCAUGAAUGAAUUCCAAUCCUGGUGCAGCAGCUUUUAUGAAGGAGGUGGAUAGGUUGUGUGCAUUCUGGUGUUUGAAGGGACUGAAUGAGACCCGUCAAUGAACAAAACGCGGUGAGCGUGACUAAACCUGGCCGCGGAUUAGGUCUUCUGUCUCUUCUCAAGUAUUAUUGAAUUUUGUUAUUGUUUCAGAGAAUUGUUUGUAGAAAAGAGGAAUAAGAAUUAAAACACAUUUUACGAGGGACCUUGAAUAUCUGUUGAUUAAAAGCAAGUUAGGACAAACGGCAAUCAAGUGGUGAUGAUUAGUUGCUAUUA